rnacentral:rRNA from 1 species
ACGGAGGGUGCGAGCGUUAAUCGGAAUCACUGGGCGUAAAGCGCACGUAGGCGGUGUCGUAAGUCGGAUGUGAAAGCCCUCGGCUCAACCGGGGAACUGCAUUCGAUACUGCGAUGCUUGAGUGCCGGAGAGGGUGGCGGAAUUCCAGGUGUAGCAGUGAAAUCCGUAGAUAUCUGGAGGAAGGCCAGUGGGGAAGGCGGCCACCUGGCCGGAAACUGACGCUGAUGUGGGAAAGCGUGUGGAUAAGUCUG